UACGGGGGGGGCAAGCGUUGUUCGGAAUUACUGGGCGUAAAGGGCUCGUAGGCGGCUAACUAAGUCAGACGUGAAAUCCCCAGGCUUAACUUGGGAACUGCGUCUGAUACUGGGAGGCUUGAGUGCGGGAGAGGGAUGUGGAAUUCCAGGUGUAGCGGUGAAAUGCGUAGAUAUCUACUGGAACGCCGAUGGUGAAGACGCUCGGCUGGGCCUUUCCUGACGCUGAGGCACGAAAGCGUGGGGAGCAAACAGG
rnacentral:rRNA from 1 species